AACCAUAGAAACCUGCGGAGUACCUGCGGAAGGAUCAUUACAGAGUUGCAAAACUCCCUAAACCAUUGUGAACGUUACCUAAACCGUUGCUUCGGCGGGCGGCCCGGGUCCUUCCCGGCGCCCCUCGGCCCUCGCGGGCGCCCGCCGGAGGUAAACCAAACUAUUGCAUUGUAUGGCCUCUCUGAGUCUUCUGUACUGAAUAAGUCAAAACUUUCAACAAUGGAUCUCAGAUCGGAAGAG
rnacentral:misc_RNA from 1 species